rnacentral:rRNA from 1 species
GACGAACGCUGGCGGCGUGCUUAACACAUGCAAGUCGAACGGGAUCCUUAUCUUCCUUUUUGGUUGGUUUGGUGAGAGUGGCGAACGGGUGAGUAACACGUGAGUAACCUGCCCUCUUCUUCUGGAUAACCGCAUGAAAGUGUGGCUAAUACGGGAUGUUCUGUCUGCCCUGCAUGGGGUGGGUGGGAAAGGCUUCACCGGUUUUGGUGUUGUGGUGGGGGAUGGGCUCGCGGCCUAUCAGCUUGUUGGUGGGGUGAUGGCCUACCAAGGCGGUGACGGGUAGCCGGCCUGAGAGGGUGGGCGGUCACACUGGGACUGAGAUACGGCCCAGACUCCUACGGGAGGCAGCAGUGGGGGAUUUUGCACAAUGGGCGCAAGCUUGAUGCAGCGACGCCGCGUGAGGGAUGGAGGCCUUCGGGUUGUGAACCUCUUUCGCUGGGUUGAAAGGCCAUGCUUUGGGUGUGGUUGAUUGAUACUGGUAAAGAAGUACCGGCUAACUACGUGCCAGCAGCCGCGGUAAUACGUAGGGUACUAGCGUUGUCCGGAAUUAUUGGGCGUAAAGGGCUUGUAGGUGGUGUGUCGCGUCUGUCGUGAAAUCCCAUGGCUUAACUGUGGGCUUGCGGUGGGUACGGGCAUGCUUGAGUGCGGUAGGGGAGACUGGAAUUCCUGGUGUAGCGGUGGAAUGCGCAGAUAUCAGGAGGAAUACCGGUGGCGAAGGCGGGUCUCUGGGCCGCUACUGUCGCUGAGGAGCGAAAGCGUGGGGAGCGAACAGGAUUAGAUACCCUGGUAGUCCAUGCUGUAAACGUUGGGCACUAGGUGUGGGGGCCGUUUUGGUUUCUGCGCCGUAGCUAACGCAUUAAGUGUCC